UACGGGGGGAGCAAGCGUUGUUCGGAUUUACUGGGCGUAAAGGGCGCGUAGGCGGCGCAACAAGUCACUUGUGAAAUCUCCGGGCUUAACCCGGAGCGGUCAAGUGAUACUGUCGUGCUAGAGUGCGGAAGGGGCUACUGGAAUUCUCGGUGUAGCGGUGAAAUGCGUAGAUAUCGAGAGGAACACCUGCGGCGAAGGCGGGUAGCUGGGCCGACACUGACGCUGAUGCGCGAAAGCUAGGGUAGCAAACGGG
rnacentral:rRNA from 1 species